AUAAAGUCACAAUUUUUUACCAUAAAACAUUACUUAACAAGUAAGAAAAAUACAUACAUGCAUGUAACUGGUGGUGGUGGCAAAAUUGGAGUUUCCAACUAAUGAUAGCCACAUUUUUUUGACCAAAUGGAUAAGGUGUUGAUUUCUUAAUUGUUAAGAAAGACUCCAUGCAUGCAUACAAGGGAGGUUGAGAAAUUCAAAUUUUCUUUCUUCAUUU
rnacentral:lncRNA from 1 species